rnacentral:rRNA from 1 species
GAUGAACGCUGGCGGCGUGCCUAACACAUGCAAGUCGAACGAUUAAACCGCCCUCGGGCGGACAUAGAGUGGCGAACGGGUGAGUAACACGUGACCAACCUGCCCCGCGCUCCGGGACAACCGCUGGAAACGGCGGCUAAUACCGGGUACUCCGGGAGGGCCCCAUGGCCCUGCCGGGAAAGCCGAGACGGCGCGGGAUGGGGUCGCGGCCCAUUAGGUAGACGGCGGGGUAACGGCCCACCGUGCCCGCGAUGGGUAGCCGGACUGAGAGGUCGACCGGCCACAUUGGGACUGAGAUACGGCCCAG